rnacentral:rRNA from 1 species
GUCGAACGCUGGCGGCGUGCUUAACACAUGCAAGUCGAACGGAAAGGCCCUGCUUUUGUGGGGUGCUCGAGUGGCGAACGGGUGAGUAACACGUGAGUAACCUGCCCUUGACUUUGGGAUAACUUCAGGAAACUGGGGCUAAUACCGGAUAGGAGCUCCUGCUGCAUGGUGGGGGUUGGAAAGUUUCGGCGGUUGGGGAUGGACUCGCGGCUUAUCAGCUUGUUGGUGGGGUAGUGGCUUACCAAGGCUUUGACGGGUAGCCGGCCUGAGAGGGUGACCGGCCACAUUGGGACUGAGAUACGGCCCAGACUCCUACGGGAGGCAGCAGUGGGGAAUAUUGCACAAUGGGCGGGAGCCUGAUGCAGCAACGCCGCGUGCGGGAUGACGGCCUUCGGGUUGUAAACCGCUUUCGCCUGUGACGAAGCGUGAGUGACGGUAAUGGGUAAAGAAGCACCGGCUAACUACGU